rnacentral:tRNA from 1 species
UGAACUCGUUAUCAACACGGUAGCCGUAGGGGAACCUGCGGCUGGAUCACCUCCUUAAUAGAAGAUCCCGGCUUCUUCAUAAGCUCCCACACGAAUUGCUUGAUUCACUGGUUAGACGAUUGGGUCUGUAGCUCAGUUGGUUAGAGCGCACCCCUGAUAAGGGUGAGGUCGGCAGUUCGAAUCUGCCCAGACCCACCAAUUGUUGGUGUGCUGCGUGAUCCGAUACGGGGCCAUAGCUCAGCUGGGAGAGCGCCUGCUUUGCACGCAGGAGGUCAGGAGUUCGAUCCUCCUUGGCUCCACCAUCUAAAACAAUCGUCGAAAGCUCAGAAAUGAAUGUUCGUGGAUGAACAUUGAUUUCUGGUCUUUGCACCAGAACUGUUCUUUAAAAAUUCGGGUAUGUGAUAGAAGUAAGACUGAAUGAUCUCUUUCACUGGUGAUCAUUCAAGUCAAGGUAAAAUUUGCGAGUUCAAGCGCGAAUUUUCGGCGAAUGUCGUCUUCACAGUAUAACCAGAUUGCUUGGGGUUAUUUAUGGUCGUAA